GUUACACUUUACGGCCAAAUGCACAUUUUGUAGUCUUCUAAAGUUAUGUUUGAAAUCUGAAGAAAGAAGGUUUAUAGAAUUAACUUUCAAUUAACCUUUCCUCCAGAGCUCGCUUGUUUUCUUUUCCUUUUGCAGGUUAACAACGAACUUACCAACUUGAAAGCCGAAAUACAGGAUCUUAUGGGCAUCCUGACUCCAUUUGAAAGUAAGAGUCAAUUAAUUAGUGUUGAAAAUGGCCAAUGUUUAAUAUUUAAUAGUUAAUGGCAUACCUAAAGUUAAUGCAAGCGAAAGUGUCAAUCAAACAGCGUGGAGUUGUACAUUUCAAGAAUUUUGUGAUUGUGCUGAAACCGGGCGAGAAUAAAUAUAUUUUUCAAAAUAGCG